rnacentral:rRNA from 1 species
GACGAACGCUGGCGGCGUGCUUAACACAUGCAAGUCGAACGGAAAGGCCCUGCUUUUGUGGGGUGCUCGAGUGGCGAACGGGUGAGUAACACGUGAGUAACCUGCCCUUCACUUUGGGAUAACUUCAGGAAACUGGGGCUAAUACCGUAUAGGAUCUCCUGCUGCAUUGUGGGGGUUGGAAAGUUUCGGCGGUUGGGGAUGGACUCGCGGCUUAUCAGCUUGUUAGUGGGGUAGUGGCUUACCAAGGCAUUGACGGGUAGCCGGCCUGAGAGGGUGACCGGCCACAAUGGGACUGAGAUACGGCGCAGACUCGUACGGGAGGCAGCAGUGGGGAAUAUUGCACAAUGGGCGGAAGCCUGAUGCAGCAACGCCGCGUGCGGGAUGACGGCCUUCGGGUUGUAAACCGCUUUCGCCUGUGACGCAGCGUGAGUGACGGUAAUGGGUAAAGAAGCACCGGCUAACUACGUG